GGCCUGGCCAUCAGGGAGAGCAGAUGUGCAUAGCAUGAGCUCCUCCACCAAACCUUCAUUCUCUGGAGGGAUAUCACCCUCAAAAGCUACCAAACCGAUUGCUUUCCUGCCCCUGAUUGCGAGAAAGCUCUCUGGGGCAAAUGUGAAACCUCUCUGUAAAGCCUGGGGCCAGAAACUGUCUUGCGGCCGACACGCUGGCGGACCCCGUGGUGGGGAGAAACGGCCGAUCUCCUGGCCUGGAGUUGCCGACACUGGCAACAUCUAUUGCUACAGCCUCGUCCCCCCUCCUUGGACCGAUGAGGGUUAUCCCGGUCCCCACUGGAUGCUACGGCGCACGAUAGUGCAACUCUAGCUGCAGAAUCUAAGCUGGAGGGCCUGAUACACAGCUUACUAUUCUAAGAUGGCGGCGCUCACUCCACAUGGCCCCGAAUGCAUGCAACAGGGGCUGGUAUACCCGGACCCCAUUGCUCACUCUCUGCGGCGGCUGGAGGAAGUGCUACAAUGCUUCUGGGAAUACAUGGAGACACGGCAAGAGGCAAAGCCACAACAAUCCCAAGUGGGAGACUGAGAGAGCGGCAGCCAGGUGGUGAGUGGGCCCCCCCUGGCACUCACUUCCCCACACAGCGAGUAACCUCUACCACGAGACCACUGGGGCCAAAGGCCAAAAGGAUUAAAACCCCAUUGCAUCGCCCACACUGACAGAAAAUCAGGGUCCCCUAUCGGCGGCAUGGUCCCACCCUGGCUUUCUGAAGGACCAAGUUGAUGCAGGCCGGUGUAUAAAUCACAGGCGGAGGGGGUACCCAAUACCACACGUCUGGAGUGCCAAACCUCCCACUCCCCAGCACAAGAAACUUCAGCUUUCUAUUCCUGGGAAUAGGCUGACACUGGCAUACCACCCGGAACUCUGACAAAGACCUUACUACAGUACCUUCCCUUAUGCAGCUGCAGUUACCAUGUGUUUUGAGACUUCACAAGCUCUCAUAGGCUUACUCUUGCUAUGUUUGUUCAAUUUAUGCCAAGCUGGUUAACUUUGUUGUUCUCUAAGCCUGCUCAUUUCAGAUUCAUAUUAGUGCAGGGAUCAUUCCCUUACACCUCA